CCCUUAGAUGUUCUGGGCCGCACGCGCGCUACACUGAUUCAUGCAACAAGUUUUGUCCUUGGCUGAUAGGCCUGGGUAAUCUUUGAACGUGAAUCGUGAUGGGGAUAGAUGAUUGCAAUUAUUCAUCUUCAACGAGGAAUUCCUAGUAAACGCAAGUCAUCAGCUUGCAUUGAUUACGUCCCUGCCCUUUGUACACACCGCCCGUCGCACCUACCGAUUGAAUGGUCCGGUGAAAUCUUCGGAUCUGAGAGAUGUCUGAUUAAUUUCGGACGCCUUUUUGAAAAGUUGUUUAAACCUUACCAUUUAGAGGAAGGUGAAGUCGUANCA
rnacentral:rRNA from 1 species